rnacentral:lncRNA from 1 species
AGCUUCAGAGCAGUAACCAUAGGUCUCCAUUUCUUUGGCAGACUUCUGACUAUCUUCUUAACAUGAUCUGCAGUCGUGUAUCCUUUGUCUAGCACUUUAAGACCUGCAAUAAGAGUUUGAAAUCUAGAAAACAUAGCCUCUAUAGCUUCGUCAUCUUCCAUUUUGAAGGCUUCAUAUUUCUGGAUAAGCGCCAGAGCCUUCGUCUCCUUGACUUGGGAGUUUCCUUCAUG